ACAAGUCCAACCCUGCUUAUAUUUUCAUUAUAAUUUUGCAAGUCCAGCUCGUUUCUAAAUAAACUUGUUUCUUUUUUUUUUCUUUUUUUUUCCAUUGGCAGGUACAAGGCCUACCGGCUGUAACUGCAACUGUAGGACCUUGACAAAAAAACAUUGGACAAAACUAUUUCAAACUUGGAUACGGAGUUAACUUCUGCAAAGGUAGCUCAGGAGUCAAUUCGCAAUGACGCUCCUCUAUCAGAAGAUAUAAAAGCAACCUAAUCAACUCCUAAGAGAAGGUACGUCAUGGUCAUAGGAAUCAACACUGCUUUUAUUAGCAGGAAAAGAAGAGACUCCGUCCACCAAUCCUGGAUGCCUCAAGGUGAGAGAAGAAAGAAGCUAGAGGAAGAGAAAGGCAUUAUCAUCAGAUUUGUAACUGGUCAUGUGUAAACUAUCUCAUUUCUCUUUUGUAAUUUCUAUGAUUUUGUAAUUGGUCAUAGGAAGAGAAAUGCUUAAAUUAUAUCAUGAUUGCAAUUUCUAAAUAAAAAACUAGAGAUUGUAUAAAAGAACUCUUUAUGGAUUGAUUUUGUAGGAUCAUGUUGAAAGAUACCUUGAACUAUCAGCAAACCAAAUGUAUCUUUAAAAUUAAACAAAAAAA